rnacentral:rRNA from 1 species
UACGGGGGGAGCAAGCGUUGUUCGGAUUACUGGGCGUAAAGGGCGCGUAGGCGGUCGUGACAAGUCACUUGUGAAAUCUCCGGGCUUAACUCGGAACGGUCAAGUGAUACUGUCGACUAGAGUACAGAAGGGGCAACUGGAAUUCUCGGUGUAGCGGUGAAAUGCGUAGAUAUCGAGAGGAACACCUGCGGCGAAGGCGGUUGCUGGCUGAUACUGACGCUGAGGCGCGAAAGCCAGG